GGAGGUAGCUUAGUGGUAGAGCACUUGUCUAACACACACAAGACCCUGGGUUUGAUCUCCAGCAAUACA
rnacentral:tRNA from 1 species